AGCACAGAAGAGCUUGCUCUUUGGGUGGCGAGUGGCGGACGGGUGAGUAAUGUCUGGGAAACUGCCCGAUGGAGGGGGAUAACUACUGGAAACGGUAGCUAAUACCGCAUAACGUCGCAAGACCAAAGUGGGGGACCUUCGGGCCUCACACCAUCGGAUGUGCCCAGAUGGGAUUAGCUAGUAGGUGGGGUAAUGGCUCACCUAGGCGACGAUCCCUAGCUGGUCUGAGAGGAUGACCAGCCACACUGGAACUGAGACACGGUCCAGACUCCUACGGGAGGCAGCAGUGGGGAAUAUUGCACAAUGGGCGCAAGCCUGAUGCAGCCAUGCCGCGUGUAUGANGAAGGCCUUCGGGUUGUAAAGUACUUUCAGCGGGGAGGAAGGCGGUGAGGUUAAUAACCUUGCCGAUUGACGUUACCCGCAGAAGAAGCACCGGCUAACUCCGUGCCAGCAGCCGCGGUAAUACGGAGGGUGCAAGCGUUAAUCGGAAUUACUGGGCGUANAGCGCACGCAGGCGGUCUGUUAAGUCAGAUGUGAAAUCCCCGGGCUUANCCUGGGAACUGCAUUUGAAACUGGCAGGCUUGAGUCUCGUAGAGGGGGGUAGAAUUCC
rnacentral:rRNA from 1 species